rnacentral:tRNA from 1 species
AUCAUAAUGGCACAGCGGAAGCGUGGUGGGCCCAUAACCCACUGGUCCCAGGAUCGAAACCUUGCUCUGAUA